rnacentral:lncRNA from 1 species
CAAAACCUGGCUUGACCAUUGUACCAUGACUCAGCCUGGCAGAGAGGAGCUGCAACCUAGUACUGAAGCCAUACCCUUUUGGCUCUGCAGUUACCAGGGCAUCAGUUAUCAUCUGAACUACUGCCACUGUGAUGGAAGAGACCAGGACUCGGGGAUCAGUGCACUGUUCUGCGGUUCCUCAGUGACUAGAAUUAAGUGCAAAAGGUGCUCCCUCAUGAACCUAUUGCCGAAGGCUCUCAGUUUCUUCAAUGGAUUCAUGCAUGUCUAAGAAGGAAGAGAUGACACCAAUCUGGGUGAAAAAAGAUGAGAAAGGCUUUAGAUUCUGAGUCUGAAACAACUGCUCAGUGACUCAAGACUCAAACGUAAUGAGGAAGGAAGAAUUGCAAGAAAGAAAGAUUUACACAACCACAGUUAAGGACAGAGCUGAGCAGAACUAUGCGGUUUCAGUUCACAGGAAUUUCUUCAAACCUGUAAUUUGCCUUUGACUUUUUGAGAAGACAUACUUGCUGACUCUGACAUUUGAUGAAAGUCAGAGUGAAAGCACUAAACUUCAAGGUGCAUUAUGUCAAAACCAUGAGUCUGAAUCAUGACCUUAAUAUCCUCAGUCUUUGGGGGAGAAAGGGGACAAACUGAAACCUUGCUGUUGCUCAAGUGAGAAUCCUACAAGCCUUC